rnacentral:tRNA from 1 species
AUUUAUAUAAUUUAAGUGAGAAUAUUGCAUUGAAGCUGCAAAAGAGAUUAGACAAAUCUGUAAAU